AUUGAACGCUGGCGGCAGGCCUAACACAUGCAAGUCGAACGAGCGGCGGACGGGUGAGUAAUGUCUGGGAAACUGCCCGAUGGAGGGGGAUAACUACUGGAAACGGUAGCUAAUACCGCAUACCAUCGGAUGUGCCCAGAUGGGAUUAGCUAGUAGGUGAGGUAACGGCUCACAUAGGCUACGAUCCCUACCUGGUCUGAGAGGAUGACCAGCCACACUGGAACUGAGACACGGUCCAGACUCCUACGGGAGGCAGCAGUGGGGAAUAUUGCACAAUGGGCGCAAGCCUGAUGCAGCCAUGCCGCGUGUAUGAAGAAGGCCUUCGGGUUGUAAAGUACUUUCAGCGGGGAGGCGUUACUCGCAGAAGAAGCACCGGCUAACUCCGUGCCAGCAGCCGCGGUAAUUC
rnacentral:rRNA from 1 species